rnacentral:rRNA from 1 species
UACGUACGAGGCGAGCGUUAUCCGGAAUUACUGGGCGUAAAGCGCGCGCAGGCGGAUGCUUAAGUUGGAUGUGAAAUCUCCCGGCCUAACUGGGAGCGGUCAUCCAAUACUGGGCGUCUUGAGGACAGCAGAGGUGGGUGGAAUUCCUGGUGUAGUGGUGAAAUGCGUAGAGAUCAGGAGGAACACCUGUGGCGAAAGCGGCGCACUGGACCACAACUGACGCUGAGGCGCGAAAGCUAGGGGAGCAAACAGG